UACGGGGGGGGCAAGCGUUGUUCGGAAUUACUGGGCGGAAAGGGCUCGUAGGCGGCCAACUAAGUCAGACGUGAAAUCCCUCGGCUUAACCGGGGAACUGCAACUGAUACUGGAUGGCUCGAGUUUGGGAGAGGGAUGCGGAAUUCCAGGUGUAGCGGUGAAAUGCGUAGAUAUCUGGAGGAACACCGGUGGCGAAGGCGGCAUCCUGGACCAACACUGACGCUGAUGAGCGAAAGCCAGGGGAGCAAACGGG
rnacentral:rRNA from 1 species